rnacentral:lncRNA from 1 species
GUUCUGCCCCCAGAGGGUCUAUCUCAUUGGUGUGGUGGGGCCUGGGCAGGGAUGGCUAUGGAAGCUCCCAGGUGGGGCCAGUGUGCAGCCAAGGCGAGGACCACUGCUCUGAACAGCCCCUCGUUUUACUGCCGGGGGAAGUGAGGACCCAGGAGGGAAGGGGCUGGGCUCAGGGCCUUGGGUCUGGAACCCCAGAAUCCUGACGGUACAUCCAAUGAGUGCUGUAACCAAGGUGCUGGAGAAAGGGGGAGAGAAUAAGAGAACAGAAUCCAGGGCUGGUGGGGUAGACCCUUGGAGGGUGCCUCCAUCUACAGAGCAGAUGAAGGAGGAAGGUAGCAGAGGAGACAGAGGAGCUGGCUGAGAGGAAGGAACCAGCCACCGGGGAGGUGGAGGGAUGCUAACACUGUUGCAGGCCUGGGAGGUCAAAGCAGAGCGGACUGGGGAAAGGUCUUUGGGACUGGCCGUUGGGAGGUCAGUAGGGGGCAGUGUAGCUUAAUGGUUUACAGAGUCCCAGAGCCAGACUGCCCGAAAGGCAUUUGGGGGCCACGUGAGAACAUCAUGUGUCUCCAUUAGCUCACCAGCUGUGUGACUUCGGACAUGUUAAUUUGUCUCUCUAUGCCUCAGUUUUCUCAUCUGUCAAAUGUGUAUAAUAUUAGCACCUGACUAGUAGGAUGGUCAUGAGUUUAAAUGGGCUAAUACAUGUAAAACACUUAGGACGGUGCCUGGCACAGUGUGUGUGUGUAUGAUCAAUAUCACGCUAGCUUUCAUUGUUGUGGUUAUUAUUGAUGGUGACCUUUGACAAUUUUCAUUGGGUGGUGGGAGAGGUGUCAGAUUUUAUAACUACCUUACAGGCAUCUGCAUCUCAGCCAGCAGUUCCUUAGCAUAAUCUCCAUGUUGGCUGUUGCUAGAGCGUUUAGAAACAUGCUUGCAGUUUUGUUUGCAGAAGUGAGGCUGACCUAACCAUGUCUAGUUUCACUGGGGCCUUUUUGUGAUGGAAUGGAUUGUCUACACUGGCACUUCAGCAUCUUAUACCCUCUCCCUGAAUUUCAAUAACUCAGUUCCACUAAAUUAAUCUGAUCAGCACAUUUUAGCUGGCUCAGUUGCAGGGGAAACACCGUUACCCUGAAGAACAGUGUCUCCUGUAUUGCAGUGGUGGCAUGAGAGCUUCUCCUUAUUCCCACAGGGUCCUCUGUCGGCCCACACCUGGUCACCUGUGGGACCCAGUGCAUCAGAGAGUGCACAUUCGGUAAGGGAGGGGAAAGUGAGGCAGGAGACAGGGAGAGGUGGGAGAAGGAGAGGAGAGGGGAGAUGGCUCAUUGAACAGCCCCCAAAGCACUCUCUACUUUACAGACAUCCCCAAAACACAGCAGUCAGAGAACCCCUCCGGCAACCUGGCCACAAGCAGCAGCCAGCAUGUGCAGCCCCAGGAAUCACCUCUGAGUGCUAUGUGGGCGUCUGGCCACUGGGUGUCACUCUUCGUCCGUGUUCAUUCUGUAUCAGGGUUCUGAGGACGGUCCUGCAUUUGCUGGUCUCCACCCUCUUCCUACAGGGUCCCUCCCUGUGCUUGUGUAUCUCCACUGGAAGGCUUUCCUGACCACACAGCAGUGUACUGAGAGUGAAGUCGCCCCACACAGGAAAGCAGCCUGUUCGUCACGGAAGCAACGAGAGCCCAGCAUCAGGAACCAAUUCUACAGCACCAGCGGCAGCUUGAAACCGAGCUCUUAAGAUUCCAGGAAGGGAGAUUUUCAGCUCUCACGAGGAAACAGGAAAAUAUCCCUGGAUGUUGGA